AAAAGGGAAGCCGAAAACUUUACAGAGUAGGCG
ncrna:unclassified sequences DTF805b RNA